rnacentral:rRNA from 1 species
UACAGAGGUCUCAAGCGUUGUUCGGAUUCAUUGGGCGUAAAGGGUGCGUAGGCGGGUCUUUAAGUCAGGGGUGAAAUCCCGGAGCUCAACUCCAGAACUGCCUUUGAUACUGAGGAUCUUGAGUUCGGGAGAGGUGAGUGGAACUGCGAGUGUAGAGGUGAAAUUCGUAGAUAUUCGCAAGAACACCAGUGGCGAAGGCGGCUCACUGGCCCGAUACUGACGCUGAGGCACGAAAGCGUGGGGAGCAAACAGG